CAAUAAUGUGUAUUUGACUGAAUGGGGCAAAAUUAAAUUAUGUACCUUUUAGAGAGUAACUUGAUCUCCAUGUUCUUUUGGGAGCUUUUAUCUGACCUGUGUACCGACUAUAGUUCUAAUUAGCACCAGUUUUAUCCUGUCUUUUGGCUGGGAUUAUGUCUUAUUAUUUUGUGUGUUUCUCAGCACCUAGCAACAGGUAGUAAGCUCCUUGGGUGCCGAAUCAGUAUUUUCUGCCUUGGAAUCAAAUGUCAGAAGUCAACACUCAAACUUCUUUUGACCAAAAAGAUUCUACGACAAUUAUCCAGAAGUUACAAUGCAAGGAAGAAGAAUUGGAUGUUAAGUCUUGCGUAGCAGGGGUUAUGGGGAGUGGAUCAAGACAAAGUAGAGGUAUCUGCUCCCCUCAUCCUUGUAAGCUCCAUGCCAUUUAUCCAUGCUCACAUUGAUCAUCUCAUACGAGCUUCACAUUUCCCCACAAGAAAUGGAGCGUAACCCCAUUACCUACUCAUAGAGGAGGAACUGGAAGCCAGAGAGGGAGAUGCCUUAUUGACACAGAGCACAAGUGGCAGGAGCUGGCUUCAGACCUCAGUCCAUCCGGUGUGGCAGUCCCUCUUCCCAGGACCAGGUGGAGCUGGAGAGAAGGAGGAAGAGGAGUCUGUGAGGUCCAGAUGGAGAUGCUCGGCAGGCCCUUUCCAAAGAUGUAGUCGCGCUCUGUUCCCC
rnacentral:lncRNA from 10 species